ensembl:misc_RNA Metazoa_SRP Metazoan signal recognition particle RNA
GCUGGGCACAGUGGUGGGCGCCUGUAGUCCCAGCUACUCGGGAGGCUGAGGUGGGAGGAUCGCUUGAGCCCAGGAGUUCUGGGCUGUAGUGUGCUAUGCCGAUCGGGUGUCCGCACUAAGUUCGGCAUCAAUAAUAUGGUGACCUCCUGGGAGCAGGGGACCAUCAGGUUGCCUAAGGAGGGGUGAACUGGCCUAGGUCAAAACUCCCGUGCUGAUCAGUCGUAGCCACUGUACUCCAGCCUGGGCAAGAACCCAUCUCUU